rnacentral:lncRNA from 1 species
AUGCAACGAGAGGCUCCAAACCCGCUCUUUCUUUGGGAGCCCCGGGCCACGGCUGUUGGCCCUGCUCGCUCCCUUCCUUGCCUCCUCCUGGCCUACGUUGCUGUGGUCUCACACACCCCUCGGAGCCUCCUUAGGCAGUUUCUCCAAAACCAGAGGUUAUUUAGGAGUGUUGUGCAUGCGUGGCACACGACAUUUCGCUCGCUGUCGGCCCGGGGUGUCUCGGCCUGCCCACAGCGCUUACCCGCUGCCAUGCCCGCGCCCCUGCCUUGGGUCCCACCUCAGGCCAGGCCCUGUGCAGAAGCACCGUGUGCGUGCUGCCCGCGGGCCGGCUUUGCAGAUCACACCCCGAAGAACCCCCCAAGGCGCCAUGUGGCCGGAUCAGAGCCACGUUUAUCACCGAGAGGGGAGGUUUCAGCCACCCCCCCUCAGCGCUGUGGCUGCCGCCGCCCCGCACCUGGCAGCGCAGCGGCGCCGCAGCGGGAGCGGUGCGGAGCCCUCAGGACCACCGGCGGCCCGCUUCGGCCCACUUCAACCCAGUUCGGCCCGUUUCGAGCCAGUUCAGCCCGGCCCAGCCCGGCCCGGCCCCGGCCCGGCCCCGGGGCGGUGCCGGGCGUCCCCCCGCUGAGGAGCCGCCGCCGUCGCAGCCCGCUCGGAGGCGGCGGGCGCCGCAGCCGGCAUCAUGAACCAGACGGCGACCGUGUCGCACCAGGGGCAGUGCCAGUCCUCCAGGGCCGCCAAGGUAGGGCCGGGACCCGGGCUCGGGAGGCCGGGGGGAGCCGGGGCGGUGGCCGUGGAGAGCGUGGGGAAAGUUUUCGGUUUCCUCGCCCCCUCGGCGGCUGCCCGAAGUUUGCCCGGAGGAGCUGCCGGAGUGCCUCGGGGGGACGGGGUCGGGGUCUUGGGGGGACCGGGGCUGGGGGUGGCGCCUNNNNNNNNNNNNNNNNNNNNGGGGUUGGGGGGGGGCGGGGGCUGGGGGUGUCGCCUCCCCUGCCCCCUGCCUCUCCCCUGUGCCCCGGAUCGAUCCGGAGCUGCUUCCUCGGCGAGGUGUGUGGCGAUCAGAUGAAGCCCCCGGGCAGGUUUGUAUUCACUGAAAAGCCUCUCUGUAGAGAGAAGUGCUUUUAUUAUUACUGUUAUUAUUGUUUCUCCCUUGGAAAUAAGCUGGUAACACAGCCAGCGACCUGCAUUUGGAUAUUGAUGCUUAGCUGUGAAAACCUAACACCCAGAAACUUUGCAGCAGCGAUUCGGCUGCCUCCGAGCAUGCUGUGGGAUGGAUGGGUGCCCCUCGGGGGCCGGGGCGCUGUGGGGCCUUCGCCCCAGGUCAGCCCUCCAGGACAAGGCUGCUUUGUCUGGUAUCUGCGGGGAAUGGGAUUUGGGGCCGGGAGCUGA